rnacentral:lncRNA from 1 species
UGUUGCUGUUGUUAGACUAGUUCUUCAUCACGUGUUUGUGUCAGAGUGUUACAUCAAACUUCCAUGACUGAACUGUUGGCUUCUAUGAUUAAAAUGACUGACUGAAUGUCUGGAAGAUUGAACUAUGCUAUUGUAGCAGAUUUUCUGUAUGUGAAACUGUGUUUGCUGGGCAUGUAGUCAAUAGGGGGCAGUCAAAUAUGCAAGAUCCUGAUAAUUGGAGGCUGGCAGUACUUCUUGUCCUGUAGACUUGUAAGACAGAAUGUGAAGGGUACCUGGAGAAACAGAAGCUAUGCACAAGAACUCUUGGAUAUUGGAUGUUAUCCCAUCAAGCAAGAAACGAAGAUUUUGUAGCUGUAUAUUUCAUGUCAAGUCUUUUCUAAUAGGUUGUGUUUAGUGAUCAUCAUCUCUCUUUCUUGAUGGUCCAUGCAUGCGUUUCUCCAUGAGAAUGGGAGAGGAAGACUGUUCAGUAUGUCUCAUCAUGCAGGAAAUGGCUGUAGCUGCUGUUUCCGUAGAUCUGUGGCAAUUGUACCUGAGGGAACCGUCACGCUAUAUCAACUGUGAACUCUGGAAGAAAUGCACAACCAGUAUCUUUGUGGAACGAUUCGAGCUUCUUUAAACAGUAAAUCUUUUAAGUACUCCAUGUCUUGAGAGUCUGCGGGUGUUUCUACUCUUCCCGUGUUCAUGGAAAUUGGAACUUUGUGUUGCCAAACUCACUGUAAAUGCUUUAAAGGAGUAUAAUUAAAUUUCUGUUGAGAAACUCUGUAUCUGCUUGUGUUAGGAAUUUUUAGUACAGUCUUCUCUUCUUUGUGCAUUCAUUUCUUUGAGCUUAUCUAAGAUAGGUAGUAGGAAGCCAAGUCUCAGUUGAUGUAAUGUUCUGUCCUUGAUGUAGGUAACUUCAGCUAUUAAAUCACUUCUGUUGUUCCCUGCCUUAUCCCUCUUUGACUGUAAAUAAGACCAGCCAUACCAGUUGGUUCCACUUGAUUUGCUGGUUCCCAGGACAUUCGCGAAGCAGAGGUAUUUGCUGCAAUCCUCAGAAAACAACUGCUUUAUCCUGUUUGGAUUAUUCUAGGAGCUAAUAUCUGGAAAUGGUUAAUCACCUUCAACCUAAAUUGUUCAUUUAACUGGAAAAUGAAUACAAGCACCAUAGAUUUGAGAGUUGCAAUAAUUUAAUUACAACAAAAUGUGCUUGAGAAUUUAUUCUGGCAUUUACAUUUACUUCAAAUUCAAC